rnacentral:misc_RNA from 1 species
GCAGAAGGAUCAUUAGUGAAGAUUUGGGCAGGCCAUACGGACGCCACAAAGUGUCCCUGGCCGCCUACACCCACUAUACAUCCACAAACCCGUGUGCACUGUCUUGGAGAAAGGCUUCAGAGAAGUUUUUUGUGGCCUCUCUUGGGGUCUUUCUUCGCUACAAACUCGAAUGGUUAGUAUGAACGUGGAACUUGGUUGGACCGUCACUGGCCAACAAACUAUACACAACUUUCGACAACGGAUCUCUUGGUUCUCCCA